rnacentral:rRNA from 1 species
GUCACUGACGAGUUUGAUCCUGGCUCAGAACGAACGCUGGCGGCAGGCCUAACACAUGCAAGUCGAGCGAGAUCUUCGGAUCUAGCGGCGGACGGGUGAGUAACGCGUGGGAACGUGCCCUUUGCUUCGGAAUAGCCCCUGGAAACGGGGAGUAAUACCGGAUGUGCCCUAUUGGGGAAAGAUUUAUCGGCAAAGGAUCGGCCCGCGUUGGAUUAGGUAGUUGGUGGGGUAAUGGCCUACCAAGCCGACGAUCCAUAGCUGGUUUGAGAGGAUGAUCAGCCACACUGGGACUGAGACACGGCCCAGACUCCUACGGGAGGCAGCAGUGGGGAAUCUUAGACAAUGGGCGCAAGCCUGAUCUAGCCAUGCCGCGUGAGCGAUGAAGGCCUUAGGGUUGUAAAGCUCUUUCAGGGGGGAAGAUAAUGACUGUACCCUCAGAAGAAGCCCCGACUAACUCCGUG